CCAAUAGCGUAUAUUAAAGUUGUUGCAGUUAAAAAGCUCGUAGUUGAAUUUCGGGAUCAAUAUAUCGGUCAUGCUUAGGUAUGUACUGGUAUUAUUGAUUUCUCCCUUCUGAAGAACCAUGAUGUCAUUUAUUUGAUGUCGUGGGGAAUCAGGACUGUUACUUUGAAAAAAUUAGAGUGUUUAAAGCAGGCUUUCGCUUGAAUACAUUAGCAUGGAAUAAUGAAAUAGGACGUUUGAUUCUAUUUUGUUGGUUUCUAGGAUCGACGUAAUGAUUAAUAGGGUUAGUUGGGGGCAUUAGUAUUCAAUUGUCAGAGGUGAAAUUCUUGGAUUUAUUGAAGACUAACUACUGCGAAAGCAUUUGCCAAGGAUGUUUUCAUUAAUCAAGAACGAAAGUUAGGGGAUCGAAGACGAUCAGAUACCGUCGUAGUCUUAACCAUAAACUAUGCCGACUAGGGAUCGGAUGAUGUUAAUUUUUUAAUGACUCAUUCGGCGCCUUACG
rnacentral:rRNA from 1 species